GUUCGUGUAAGAUGACCAAAGACUCUGCAUGACCUGGAGGCAUUUUGCCAAGACGAAUGGGCAGCUAUACCACCUGCAGGAAUUAGGGGCCUCGGACAACUCUUACAAAAGACUGCACGCUGUCAUUGAUGCUAAAGGGGGCAAUACACAGUAUGAAGAACUAAGGGUACGCAGACUUUUGAACAGCGGUCAUUUCAUUUGUUUC